GUUCAAGAGUACGUGAAACCGUUCAGGGGUAAACCUGAGAAACCCAAAAGAUCGAAUAGGGAGAUUCAUCGUCAGCAUGUCUCGUAUAUGUAUGAGUUAUGAUGCGGGUUACUUUUGUAUUGCUUGCACGUUCUUGUAUAUUUAAUUGCGGGAUAUGUCGGCGUGCACUUCUCCCUUAGUAGAACGUCGCAACCCGUUGAGUGUUGGUUUAUGACCCGAGUGAGAGUCUUUAGCGUUUUUUACAUUGAAAAUCCUGGGGGUUCUAACUAAUGGUUCGACGGUACUCGUAUGGUAUUAAGUCGAAUACUUUAGGCGCCCAUAUCUGUCACAAGCAAGGUUAAUUUCGGGCAGUACGGACCUAGUGCCGCCGUUGAAUUUGACCAGCUGUUGGUUGACGGUAUUCUAGGACUGACUUAUACCGGUUAGCGAUGCUACUGCUUUGGGUACUUUCAGGACCCGUCUUGAAACACGGACCAAGGAGUCUAACAUGUGCGCGAGUCAUUGGGAUUAUUUAAAUUAAACCUAAAGGCGCAAUGAAAGUAAAGGUUGUCCUUGCGUCAACCGAGGGAGGAUGAGUUGUUUCAAGAUUCAGCUCCGCACUCCCGGGGCGUCUCAUUUUCUUUGAAAAGAGGCGCAC
rnacentral:rRNA from 1 species